UUGACACCCCAAAGUUUCACCAACUUAAGAAUUUCAGCGAGGAGUAGAGAGGAGGGCGAGGAGAGGCAGCGGCAACACGGAGAGGCAGCCGUAAGCCGAGAAUCGCCAAGGAGAGGAUAAAUUGCUCGAGGGCAAGUGAGGUCAAAGCGAAUAAUCGAAUUGAAGAAUAAGCAUACCAGGUUGAACGUCAAGAGGAUGGAGUGAUGAUCGGAGUCGAUGUUAUCAAGUUGAUCUCCCGACGAUUCGUGUCUUCAUACACGAAGUCGUUUAGUAAGGACUUAUUCCGCUGCUCUUUUGGUGGAGUGAGAAUUGUAGAACCUCACCAUCAACUCUAAUUUAUUUGAGGAGAUGUUUAUUUUGUUUUCAAGACCAUAUAAUGAAAUACUUGCUUCUUUGAUAUAAA